rnacentral:rRNA from 1 species
UGUAAGCGUAUACCAAAGUUGUUGCAGUUAAAACGCUCGUAGUCGGAAUUUGGCAGUUCCGGAUAUGUGCACGUCGUGUGCGCACUUCGCGGGGAUUGCUUUUGUGGUCUUGCGUAGGAUGAGGCACUUUUAUUAGUGAACGUCCUCACGCAACCACUUUUUACUGUGAGAAAAUCAGAGUGCUCAAAGCAGGCAUUUGCCGUGAAUGUAUUAGCAUGGAAUAAUAGAAUAGGACUUGGUUCUAUUUUGUUGGUUUGUUGGGACUGAGUAAUGAUUAAGAGGGACAGUUGGGGGCAUUUGUAUUUCGGUGCUAGAGGUGAAAUUCUUAGAUUACCGAAAGACAAACUGCUGCGAAAGCGUCUGCCAAGGAUGUUUUCAUUGA